GAGGCAGCACAUAAACACAACUGAUGGAUGGAAGAGGAAGAUGACUGUUCAGAAAUGCUCAAUUAAAAAGAAAUCCAGUACUGUGUUGCAAUGCUUAUUAAAAUUCUGUGGAAACAGUUGUAAUGCCCAAACCAGCUGAGAAGUCCAGGCAAAUAUUAAGUAUUUGAAUUCACUGAAUAAUUAUGAGUCUAGGCCUUUCUUCCCUUCUUUUAUCCAUGUUGGCAAAGUGCUCCAGGACCACCUUAUUCUACAGAAAUACAUGCUGAACACCAUGGCCGUGGGAGUGCAGAAGGAGCACGGAGCUUGUUUUAAGCCAGGACUCCCUGCUGGAGUACAUAGGAGAGGCCCAGAUGGGGGCAGCUGUCGAGGCAGUGAUGUAUGACAAAUGACUUGCUGCUGCAAUGGAUCAUCAGAGGCUGGCUACACUGGUGACAUGUCACAGUCAUACAUCAUCAGAGCAGUGCCUGGCAGGGGCAGCGGCCUGAAAACCACCCUGCCCCAUAAAUUUUAAUACAGCCAAA